AGGAAAUCUUCCACAAUGGACGAAAGUCUGAUGGAGCAACGCCGCGUGAGUGAUGAAGGUUUUCGGAUCGUAAAACUCUGUUGUAAGGGAAGAACCAGUACGUCAGGCAAUGGACGUACCUUGACGGUACCUUAUUAGAAAGCCACGGCUAACUACGUGCCAGCAGCCGCGGUAAUACGUAGGUGGCAAGCGUUGUCCGGAAUUACUGGGUGUAAAGGAUGCGUAGGCGGAUAUGUAAGUCAGAUGUGAAACCCCCGGGCUUAACCGUGGAGGGUCAUUGGAAACUGGGAGACUUGAGUGCAGAAGAGGAAAGUGGAAUUCCAAGUGUAGCGGUGAAAUGCGUAGAGAUUUGGAGGAACACCAGUAGCGAAGGCGACUUUCUGGUCUGCAACUGACGCUGAGGCGCGAAAGCAUGGGGAGCAAACA
rnacentral:rRNA from 1 species